rnacentral:tRNA from 1 species
GCCUUCGUGGUGUAGUGGUUAGCACACUCGGCACGUAUUCGAGAGGUCCAUGGUUCGAGUCCCGGCGAAGGCA